UAUCCAUGGUGGGGACACAGAUUUAACAUAUCUUUAAAACGCUCCCAAGCCUGAUAAAGAGUUUCGUUUUCCUUCUGUGUGAAAUUCAAGAUCUAUCAUUUCAAAUU
rnacentral:snoRNA from 1 species